UACGAAGGGGGCUAGCGUUGCUCGGAAUCACUGGGCGUAAAGCGCACGUAGGCGGCUUCUUAAGUCAGGGGUGAAAUCCUGGAGCUCAACUCCAGAACUGCCUUUGAUACUGAGGAGCUUGAGUUCGGGAGAGGGAUGCGGAAUUCCAGGUGUAGCGGUGAAAUGCGUAGAUAUCUGGAGGAACACCGGUGGCGAAGGCGGCAUCCUGGACCGACACUGACGCUGAGGAGCGAAAGCCAGGGGAGCAAACGGG
rnacentral:rRNA from 1 species